rnacentral:rRNA from 1 species
UACAGAGGGGGCAAGCGUUAUUCGGAAUUAUUGGGCGUAAAGGGCGCGUAGGCGGCUUUGCAAGUGACGGGUGAAAUCCCUCAGCUUAACUGGGGAACUGCGUCUGAGACUGGCGAGCUCGAGUGCAGGAGAGGAACGCGGAAUUCCAGGUGUAGCGGUGAAAUGCGUAGAUAUCUGGAGGAACACCGGUGGCGAAGGCGGCGUUCUGGACUGCAACUGACACUGAGGAACGAAAGCCAGGGUAGCAAACGGG